rnacentral:rRNA from 1 species
UACGUAGGCAGCAAGCGUUGUUCGGAGUUACUGGGCGUAAAGGGUGUGUAGGCGGUUCUUUAAGUUUGGGGUGAAAUCUCCCGGCCCAACUGGGAGGGUGCGCCGAAUACUGAGGGACUUCGAGUGCGGGAGAGGAAAGUGGAAUUCCUGGUGUAGCGGUGAAAUGCGUAGAUAUCAGGAGGAACACCGGUGGUGUAGACGGCUUUCUGGACCGUAACUGACGCUGAGACACGAAAGCGUGGGUAGCAAACAGG